UUUAUUGCAGAUACAAGGAAGGGGAAAUUGAUCCUAGGUCACCAAACUCAUACUAUUCAGAAUAUAGUGCUCUGAGGACCAAGAUCUUGUCUACAUGUUGCCCAACCAAAGCACUGGUCGGCGAUCUGAAUUUCCAUUAUGCAUUCAGGAUGUCACACCUGUGGAUCUCUGCAGGAAAAUAAAGUUGAUCACUGAUUUCACAUCUCUUAUCAACACCCAUGAAUCAUUUCUAUCUCCUCUACAUUGAAUCGUUUUUUUAAAAGAAGACUAAAAAAAGAUGAAGACGAAAUCCACAUAUGGAGGCUGGGACGAUACAAUUAGAAUGCUCCAUAUUCACACAGGUAUAUAUCCAUUAAGGUGGAUUAUCUUUUGAUCAUUUGUAUUCAUCACUUAGAUGUUUUCUAAACUUACACUGAACAUGCAAAGUGCAAAGAUACAAGAAAACUUAAAUAAAAAUAAAUAAAUAAAUAAAUAAAAUCUUAAAAAAAAAAAUACAAGAAAACCUUUCAAG
rnacentral:lncRNA from 1 species